UCAGGGAAGCGCGCUAGCCCUUCACCUUGGUCACUGCAUGAUCCUCGAACUGCAGCCCAAAGAUGCAGAGCCGGACAACUGCAAGAGACUGGGCGCGAACCCCAGCAAAGAGAAUAUUCCUUCUCCACAUUGCCUCCUCUCCUAGGUCAAAAUUUGGGUGCCCAAACAUAUCACAAAAUGCCAAUUUAAUGAAAGAGAAAAUGGCCUGUCGUGCGAGGCUUUUAUUGUCUGUCACUGACAUACAUAUUGAAUAUAUCAAUGUGAACUGAGCUAUGACUGGCAGUCAUUUGGCUAUGGUAGAGGGUCUAAAGACUCGGGACUCUCAGCUUCUCUCUCCAGCUGUCCUCGUCACACUGGGAUUCAGGACAAGCCACAUGACCCUGGGUCUGACUUGUUCCUGGAAGAGAAACUAGGACAAAGUCUGAGAGAUCGUCCUUCCAGUUUAUAUACAGCUGUGGAGAACCCCCACAAAUCCUUUGAUACAUCGCUCAUUGAGGAGUGCCAUUUGACUGCUCUCCUCUUGAAUACAGGCUGAACUGAAUUCUAACAAAUGGGAUACAGUUGGUGAUGUGACCAACCCAGCUCCCUCCCUUCCUCCUUCUCUCCCUCCCUCCCUUCCUCCCUCCUUCCUUCACUCAGUUGUCUGCUGCCUCCCCUCCCUCUCCCCCUCCCUGGGGGAGGGGGGAAGCGGCAUCUGCCAGUCCUGUCUCUGUCUCUUUCUUUCAGAGUCCAGCUACCCUGCUGUGAGGGAGCACACAGAACACUAGGUAUGGCUUUCCGGGCUGAGAGUGCCAGCAUCAGCAGCCCCAGCCAUGUGGAUGAGUGAGCCUUAAAGAUGACUUAGCUGCAGUCACCUUCAUGAAGUAAGACCUAGAAUGAAACCCCAGCCAAGCCAAAUCAGUCUCCAGAAACAUGAAGCUUGAGGAGAGUUCAUUGGUGAGGUUGUUAAUGAAGCAGUUCACCAUACUUAGCCUAGUGGCAGCUCAAUUGUCUCCACCACAGCUUACCAAGCAAGCUACCCCAGACCUUGAUAACCUAGUACAGUGAAGACAACUCUCAACUUCCAGAGAAACAGCACCCAGACCUACUACAUGGCAGCAUGUUCUAAUAGGUGCCAGGUGGUUCCAUUCUCUUAUAGCAACAGGGCAGUGACAGGACCUCUGAACUUUCCUAGCCAAU